ensembl:rRNA 5S_rRNA 5S ribosomal RNA
GUCUAUCGCCAUGCCACCUUGAAUGCACCUGAUCUCAUGAAGCUAAGCAGGGUUGGGCCUGGUUAGUACUUGGAUGAGAGAAACCCUUCUGACAGAGU